UACCAGCUCUCCGAGUGGUAGGGAUGAUUAUUGGGCUUAAAGCGUCCGUAGCCGGCUUAGCAAGUCUCCUGUUAAAUUCAGCGACCUAAUCGUUGAGCCGCGGGAGAUACUACUAGGCUAGGAGGCGGGAGAGGUCAACGGUACUUCCGGGGUAGGGGUGAAAUCCUAUAAUCCCGGGAGGACCACCAGUGGCGAAGGCUGUUGACUAGAACGCGCUCGACGGUGAGGGACGAAAGCUGGGGGAGCGAACCGGAUUAGAUACCCGGGUAGUCCCAGCUGUAAACGAUGCGAGCUAGGUGUUGGGGUGACUACGUGCCACUUCAGUGCCGCAGGGAAGCCAUUAAGCUCGCCGCCUGGGGAGUACGGCCGCAAGGCUAGAAACUUAAAGGAAUUGGCGGGGGAGCACCACAAGGCGUGAAGCUUGCGGUUC
rnacentral:rRNA from 1 species